rnacentral:lncRNA from 1 species
AAAAAGGAAAAUUAGGCUAAGGAAAUAAUGCUCGAAAGGAUUGACCUGAGUCUCAUAACAAGGGUGUAAUACCCAAUUUUGGCUCGGGUAAAAAGGCCCAAAUUACAAACAGGCCAACAAGGGCCCAAAUCAAAAUAAAACAAGAGGCCCAAAGCUCAGUGGCCCAAAUCAAUUGCAGAAACCCUAGGGUUUCUGAGGAAACCUUUGCGCCGCAGCCACCAAGCACCACAUCCCCGAAUCUUCACCUACACCAAAGAAAGGAAACACAACAAAUAAACCACAAAAAUGGCAAGAAAAUCAAGAUUGGAAACCAAAUAGAUAUCAAGUAGAUUCGUUUCUUUAUUUUUUUAUUAUAAUGGCUAUAAAAAGGCCAUUGAUUUACUGUAAUAAAGACCCGGAAAAAGAAAUCAAUAAAAAGAAAAUAUUUUUUUACAGCAAAAAAAUAGAGAACACAAACAGAAGAGAAAGAUCAAUCAGAAACGCAAAGGUUGAAACAUUUUCCCAUUUUUUUUUAUUUUUAUUUUACUUACUGAAAUAAAACAAAAUAAAAGGUAAGGAAACUUACCAGGGUUCACUUCUGAAACGCCGUGAAUGGCCGAGGUAACCGUCUCCGAGGACAGACGGUCGGAAGUCGAAAAGCUUCUCGAAAUUUAAGGCUUUUUUCGGUCAUAUUUUGAAAGAUUUGGACAUGGAUUCAGGCUUAGAAGGCUAAGAGGGACCUGAUUUUAUUUUUUCCCUUUUUUGACCACCGCAGACGGCGGUGUUGUCGUCGGGGAAUGAUGGCUGGCGCGGUGGCCGACGAUCGGCCGAUGCCAAACUUAGGCCGGACGACUGAAGAGGGGCGAGAGUUUUU